rnacentral:ncRNA from 1 species
AAUUAAUUAAGAUUGAUUUUGUCUUUUUUUGAUUAAUUAUUAGUUGAGUGAUUUUAAAUACUAGUUUUUGCGUGUUUUAAUAAUUUAUCUAAAUGAUUAUUAUUAUUUUUAGUUGUAGUUUUUGAUUUUGUUAAUUACAUAAGUGUAGAUUUAGUCAAUUAAGUUUAGGAUUGUUUAAAAUUGUGCCAGCAUACGCGGUUAUACAAUUGAUCCAAGUUAAUUUUUUUGGUUUAUAUUAAUUAAUUUAUUUUGGGGGUUUAUGUUGAAUUAUUAGGUGAAAUUUUUAAUUUGAUUGAUAUUUUUUGGGUUUAAGAUUAUAUAAAAUUUAGGCUAUAAACUAGGAUUAGAUACCCUAUUAUUCUAAAUGUAAGAUUUAACCAUAGUAUUAAUAGUUAGGGUCUUUAAAUUAAAAAAAUUUGGCGGUAAUUUAGUCUUUUCAGAGGAACCUGUUCUUUAAUCGAUAAUCCACGUUGGAUUUAACCUUGAGAUUAUUGCUUGUAUAUCUCUGUUAUUGAGUGUUUUAUUAGAAUAUUUUCUUAAAUUAAUAGUUUAAUUAAUAUCAGGUCAAGGUGCAGCUAUAUCAAGGGUUGUAAUGGGUUACAUUUAAUGUUAUUUAUUGGUUUGCUAUUAUUGAAAAUCAUUUAGUAAGAAAAAGGAUUUGAAAGUAAUUUCUAUUAUUUUAUAUAAAUGAUUUUAGCUCUAAAUUAUGCACACAUCGCCCGUCACUCUUGUUAAUAAGAUAAGAUAAGUCGUAACAAAGUAAUUUUACCGGAAGGUGAGGUUUGAACUAAA